rnacentral:lncRNA from 1 species
AAACAGUCAUCUCCACAGCAUGUCAUGACAUCAGUCAAGACAUUAGAAUCCAGCUAGUGUUUUACCAUACAAUGCAGCCAAUCAAACAUCUACAUUAUCUUUUAUCUCUUUGCAUAAUAUGUAAUGACUUGCCGAGCAAAAGUGUGUACAAGAUGGUGCACCCAUAAACCGCCAUUCCAGUAUAUUAGGAAUUCGUAAGUAACUCAUGGUUAAAUACAUAAUUUCACUAUGAUUUCCAUUAAUGUAACAUAAAAU